GAUAAAGAUGUUCCUUUUUCUAGAUCUACAAGUCUACAGCAGACGUUAGCUCAGGACAGUUAUUGUAUAAUAAAUAUUCAACUGUUACUGAUGAUCAUUUGAUGUUAAGAGAUAUUGUAAUGGCUAGGAAGAUGCCUAGAAGGUUAUUUGUACAGCCACACACUUCAAUUGAUACUGAUGGUUCUGUUCUUAGUGAAUUUGAUGGUUCAUUUGAAGGGAUAAUUUCCUCAUUUCUAGCAAGAUGAUACUGAGCUGGAGUCUCUUUGGAGAAAUGAUCAGCAUUAUUGGAAACAAAAAUAGACACAAUACAUAAUACAACAAAUUACAACAACAAUUAAAGCACAAAUUAAAGAAAUGGAAUUCACUUGUA